GUGGGUAGUUUGACUGGGGCGGUCUCCUCCUAAAGAGUAACGGAGGAGCACGAAGGUUGGCUAAUCCUGGUCGGACAUCAGGAGGUUAGUGCAAUGGCAUAAGCCAGCUUGACUGCGAGCGUGACGGCGCGAGCAGGUGCGAAAGCAGGUCAUAGUGAUCCGGUGGUUCUGAAUGGAAGGGCCAUCGCUCAACGGAUAAAAGGUACUCCGGGGAUAACAGGCUGAUACCGCCCAAGAGUUCAUAUCGACGGCGGUGUUUGGCACCUCGAUGUCGGCUCAUCACAUCCUGGGGCUGAAGUAGGUCCCAAGGGUAUGGCUGUUCGCCAUUUAAAGUGGUACGCGAGCUGGGUUUAGAACGUCGUGAGACAGUUCGGUCCCUAUCUGCCGUGGGCGCUGGAGAACUGAGGGGGGCUGCUCCUAGUACGAGAGGACCGGAGUGGACGCAUCACUGGUGUUCGGGUUGUCAUGCCAAUGGCACUGCCCGGUAGCUAAAUGCGGAAGAGAUAAGUGCUGAAAGCA
rnacentral:rRNA from 1 species